rnacentral:rRNA from 1 species
UUGUAAUUUGUAGAAGGUGCUUCGGGCGUGACCCCGGUCCAAGUCCCUUGGAAUAGGGCGUCCCAGAGGGUGAGAAUCCCGUACCGGCCGAUGGUCAGGCCCGCGUGAAGCCCUUUCGACGAGUCGAGUUGUUUGGGAAUGCAGCUCUAAAUGGGUGGUAAAUUUCAUCUAAAGCUAAAUAUCUGCCGGAGACCGAUAGCGCACAAGUAGAGUGAUCGAAAGAUGAAAAGCACUUUGAAAAGAGAGUCAAACAGUACGUGAAAUUGUUGAAAGGGAAGCGCUUGCAACCAGACUCGCUCGCGGGUGCUCAGCCGUCCCUCGGGGCGGUGCAUUCUCCCACGAUCGGGCCAGCAUCGGUUCUGACGGCUGGAUAAAGGCCCCGGGAACGUAGCUCUCUUCGGGGAGUGUUAUAGCCCGGGGUGCAAUGCGGCCAGUCGGGACCGAGGACCGCGCAUUCGCUAGGAUGCUGGCGUAAUGGUUGCCAGCGACCCGUCUUGAAACACGGACCAAGGAGUCGACCAACCGUGCGAGUGUUUGGGCAUUAAACCCGGACGCGCAAUGAAAGUGAACGGAGGUGGGAGCCCCUCGGGUGCACCAUCGACCGAUCCUGAUGUUUUCGGAUGGAUUUGAGUACGAGCCCGGCUGGUCGGACCCGAAAGAUGGUGAACUAUGCGUGAAUAGGUGAGCAUUAUUUUCCAACCUGAACAUUCAUGUUCGGAGGUCUUUCCUUGAUUUGUUGCUAAUAUUUCAAUAGGGUGAAGCCAGAGGAAACUCUGGUGGAGGCUCGCAGCGGUUCUGACGUGCAAAUCGAUCGUCAAAUUUGCGCAUAGGGGCGAAAGACCAAUCGAACCAUCUAGUAGCUGGUUCCCGUCGAAGUUUCCCUCAGGAUAGCAGCAACGGAAACAGUCUCAUGAGGUAGAGCAAACGAUUAGAGGUCUUGGGGUUGCAAUCGACCUUAACCUAUUCUCGAACUUCGAAUAUGUGAGAAGUCCUUGUUACUUAGUUGAA